GUGUUCGUAGAAAGGAGAGACGGUUGGCAUCUCCCCCGACAGGGACGGGAACAGCUUUCGGGCUUUACCUUUUACCAACACAUCCGGUUAAGGCUACCCACUUCGGUGGAUCUAUAACCCAAUUUUUUU
rfam:Erythranthe guttata cultivar DTN x IM62 scaffold_285_contig_11, whole genome shotgun sequence.